AGCCGUUGAAGCAUGAUCCCGUUCAGGGGGUGACUGUUGAGGCCUUGUAUGGGUUAUGCGUUAGCCGUUACCUGAAUAGCCUAGGCGAAAAAGAAAACGCAUUCA
rnacentral:sRNA from 12 species